UCAAAAGUUGGUUAACAAGUUACUGGAUGUGGAGGAAUUGAAAUUCUCAUACACUGAGAAAUGUAGUUGGUAUAGUCACUUCAGAAAAUAGCCUGGCAUUUUCUCAGAGUUACCAUAUGACUCAGCAUUUCCAUCCCUUAGGUAUAUAUUCAAGAGAGACUUAUCCACAUAAAAACUUGCACACAAAAAUUCAUAGCAGGAUUCUUCAUAAUAACCAAAAAGUGGAAGCACCCCAAGGUCAGUGGAUGAAUUAAGGAACAUACAAAAUGCGGGAUACCUAUACAGUUGAAUAUUAUUUUGCCACAAAAGGAAUGAAAGACUACUACAUGCUACAACUUGGAUGAGCAUGGAUGGACAUGGUGAUAAAGCCAGAAGUGCCCACACACAUCUUUCAUCCAGCUCUGUGGGAAGUUCAGCAAUGGCUCGAACAAUAUGGGAUGUUGGGCUGCUGUCACUGGACCAUCCUGAUCUUAUUUCUAGACUUGGUGAACAGAAGACCACACUGCUGUUGCCUUCGAUUCACUUCAAAGAGAAAAACAGAAGGGGAACUGACCAUAGAAGGGAGAGGGUCAGCUGCCUAUUGGCAUGGCUGGCAGUGGAUCUAAACUGGCAAAGGACUCAUAGACCUCCCAUUUGAAAAGAAGGUAAGGAGCCCUUUGUGCAGGUGACUGCCCCACCUGAGCUGAUCACACAACUGGGGCCCAGGGCCCAGAGAGAGAAGAAGAUUGAGGGGCACCAGAAGUCGGGCCCCUCCGAUGCCACAGCUGGCAAAUGGGCCUUAGCUGGAAGCAGGGUAAGAGGACGCUUUCAUUCCACUACAGGCUGGCGUUUUUCAAACUGCUGGGUGUGAUUCAUCAGGAAAUCAAUUUAACGGCUUUGACCAGCAUUAAAACAAAAGAGAACAGAAAAUAAGAUGCUGCCUGUCACUACAGUCCUAUGAAACCUCUGGGGCUGGGGGCUAGAGCGUGAUUCUGUGGAUUGAGGUGACCAGGGCCAUCCUUGAGGGACCCAUAAACUACUUCUCAGCUGGAGGGAGGGCACCCCAAGGGAGAAGGGUGACCCAGGGACGGGCUGUGGAGUUUGCAGUAUUAUGAUGGCCCCACCGGCAGAAGCAGUCAUUUGGAUGGAACCUUCUUCCCCAGUUGGCACUGCAGAAGCUUCAGGGCUGCCUGGUUCCUCUCAGGGUGACCCUUGGCAUUUGUGGAGAUCUGACACUUUUCUGCUCUCAGCCUCUCAUUUACUUUUCAUAAGACUCCUAGGGUGGGGGGAGAGAUGGGGUGUCCAUGAUAUCAUUAUCCUGCUUCAGAGAUGAGAAAACCGAGGAUCUGAGCCAGCAGGUGACUGCCAGAUGCGGAACUAGAUGUCAGACUCCCUAACUUCUAAGUGAGCCUGCUUUCCACACCAUGACGAGAGUGCUCUGUGUUUAGAGUGUGGGUUCAAGACACAGACUGCCCAUUGGGAGUACCUGGGCACCGCCCUCAAAAUUCCAAUGUCUGCCUGAGCUCCUCCUAGGACCACUGAAAUCAGAAUCUCCACAGGGGCUGGACACUGGGGAAGGAGGUUGGCUGGCGGGGGUGGGUGGGGGGUGGACUGGGCAUCAGUAUUUUCUCAAGUUGCCUCAGGAGAAUCUAGUGCAGGACCAGGAUUGGAAACCGCUGCCACCAUAGGGCCAGUUUCCUCUGUGCUCAUCUUCUCUGUGGGCCCAGCUAUUAGAAACUGGCCCAGCCCCAAUUCAGCCAAGCUGCCUGCAAGGUACAUUGGUGGCUCCCAGCUCAGAUGGAUGUCACUGUUGUUUUGCUGAGUAACUUCCCCAGGGAGCUGCUGCUGGGGCCCAAUUCAAGGAGCUCAGGUCUCCUGGGGCCCCUGAGAGGAGGUGUGAUCAGGGAUGUGGGGAGACAGGAGGCUCUGACAG